GACGAACGCUGGCGGCGUGCCUAAUACAUGCAAGUCGAACGAGUGGCGGACGGGUGAGUAACACGUGGGAACCUACCCAUCAGCGGGGGAUAACACUUGGAAACAGGUGCUAAUACCGCAUACUAUUGGAUCGGCCGAUAUCGGAUUAGCUAGUUGGUGGGGUAACGGCUCACCAAGGCGACGAUCCCUAGCUGGUCUGAGAGGAUGACCAGCCACACUGGAACGGAAACACGGUCCAGACUCCUACGGGAGGCAGCAGUGGGGAAUAUUGCACAAUGGGCGCAAGCCGGAUGCAGCCAUGCCGCGUGUGUGAAGAAGGCCUUCGGGUUGUAAAGCACUUUCAGCGGGGAGGCGUUACCCGCAGAAGAAGCACCGGCUAACUCCGUGCCAGCAGCCGCGGUAAUUC
rnacentral:rRNA from 1 species